CACUCAUUAGAACCCGACUGACCCCCUGUUUGACCUUUAGAAAUAGGUGAUGUGGGACGCGAGAAUGUCUAAUAAUACCAAACUAUACCCUAUGCCCCUGUCCACCCAGCAGUGUACCAGGUAUUAAUCGGGGGUUGUGUCCCGUCUCCUGGGGUCUGUUCCCUUCUCCUAUAAUUCCUUCCCCUUCUGUCUCUCUCCGGCAUAUGACCACAGAUGUUGCGCCCACUAAACCAAACUUUCCAACUGUUCCCUUCUCCUAUAAUUCCUUCCCCUUCUGUCUCUCUCUCCGGCAUAUGACCACAGAUGUUGCGCCGACUAAACCAAACUUUCCAACUGUUCCCUUCUCCUAUAAUUCCUUCCCCUUCUGUCUCUCUCCGGCAUAUGACCACAGAUGUUGCGCCGACUAAACCAAACUUUCCAACUGUUCCCUUCUCCUAUAAUUCCUUCCCCUUCUGUCUCUCUCCGGCAUAUGACCACAGAUGUUGCGCCGACUAAACCAAACUUUCCAACUGUUCCCUUCUCCUAUAAUUCCUCCCCCUUCUGUCUCUCUCCGGCAUAUGACCACAGAUGUUGCGCCCACUAAACCAAACUUUCCAACUUUUUAAUACCAAACUGAUGAGUCCUUUUCCCCCCAGUGAGACAGCGUUCCUGGGUAUACAGUCUGUAGAGAUUGACUUUCGGUCCAACCAGCUUCACACGCUCCAGGAAACCAUCUUCUCUCCCAUCAUCCAAGACAGCCACUACUUCGUAUAUUUUCAUUUCAUGGAUAAUCAAAUGAUCUGCGACUGUGGGCUGAUGUGGGUUGUGGCGGACGGGAACAAUCUCUUCUGCUUCGACAAUUUCCAGUGUACCAAUAACAACCAGACUCUCUACACGCUGGAGCCUUCGGACCUCGGCAACUGUUCCGGCCGCGCGCGACUCCUGUAACUAUAGUCUGGCAUAUCUCACUACCACCAACGGACCCAGGUGUGGUUAGUGAAAUGACGCAAUAGUUGGCACCUUGGGAAGUCUCGUUGAAGCCUUCCACUACCACGAGUUCCUUAUCCCCGAUCACACGAACACUGCAACCAAGGACUGUAUACGAUAAGGAUAACUCACUAAGCUUUUGUUUUACCCACAAUGCACUGCCGAUGACGUCACACAUGUAAACAAAUGGUGCUCGGCGGCAAACUGGUUCACUUCAAUGUGUUCUCACCGUAGCGUGCUCAGUGGAAAUGGUGACUUCUGGUGUACAUGGGUGUUUCAGUGGCUCAACUGCGGAAAAUCGUCAAGAUGUUAAGUUCUUUAUGUUUCCUAGAGACAAACACACCUUGAAGAAGUGGGCUUUGGCCUGCAAACGAAAAGAUUAAUAGCCUUUUCCAUUUAGCGUAACCUGUUUCUGGGUCGCGAUCUGUAGAGUCCCUUAAUAGAUAGAGUCCCGACAACCUGAGAUUUGGACGACAUUAUUGGUCCAGUUGUCCCCGCGAGAGCGUGUGAUAGCGUUUGAAAAGCACGGCGAAAACUGGCACAAUAAUGGCGUCCAAAUCUUAGGUAGUCGGGACUCUAUAAGGGACGCUACAGAUCACGACCCCAAAACAGGUGAUUGAUUGAUUGAUUGAUAGUUUAUUGCUGCAGGUAAACAACAAGGGAGAAGGUUACGCUAAAUGAAAGACGGAAUUAUACAGACAAACUCGGGAAAGGCAAAUAUAUACCUAUCUCAGUUCAACUAAGAAUACAAAACUUGAUUUACAGAAACUAAAUGAAAUUGAUUAUAGUGAAGGAAAACAAUGGAUUCAGUAAUUUCAGCUUAAACUUCUGGAUUUAUAAAAAUAUGUGGAGUAAUUAAAGAAACUGUACUUUCAUGGGAAACUUAAAUAACUUCUUCACUAACUUCAUAGGUCUGCGCGGGUGAGGUCCAAACAUUUUCCAAGAAAGUGAUUAUAUUAAAGAAACGCCAAUAAAGCUCUAGAGUGAAAGUUUGGUAAGGGUAAAUUCACUUAGUUAAAAAUUUGCGUAAACAUUGUACAAUAUAUAUGUAUGUAUACAAAAAAUUACUUUCAUUAUAUAUGACAGGAUGAGUUACCCCUGAAAAUUAAGUCGUAGAAAACUAAUGUUACUAAAUGUUAAGAAAACGUAAGCAUCGAUGGUAAACUGAGCAAUAUUUCUGCAGCUUGUUGACCAUAUUUAUCACAUUAUUUAUACUAUUGGAUACUAUUAACCAACACAACAGCUGCUUAAUUUAAUGACUUAUCCUUAGCGAUCAAAAAACUGCAAAACCUGACCAUGAAUAAGGAUAAAUAAGGGUUUUCUAGUACAUUUUAUACCGUGAGAGCAGGCUGAGAGUGAACCAGAUGACGCACCGCAGUUAUGACGUCAUCGAUGGCGUUUCAGUGAGCAAUCCUUAUCGUAUAUAAUCCUUUAAUGCAACUACCUACGAGCGAGUGCGGGGAGCGGGGAGCCGUCUGUGUGCCCGGCCAUCCAGCCCACGUAUGCAGAAGGCGAGGCAACCUGCACACUCCCCGCGACGCCCGCUGCUCUUUGUGUACAGGAAUUAUUAUUAAAAGUUUAUAGUAGACGACGGGAGCUGAGCGCUUUGUUGAGCAAGGUUAUCAGAAUGCCUCUUCGUUAGUAAAGGGUCAUUACACACACACACACACACACACACACACACACACACACACACACACACACACA